rnacentral:rRNA from 1 species
GAUGAACGCUGGCGGCGUGCUUAACACAUGCAAGUCGAACGGAAAGGCCCUGCUUUUGUGGGGUGCUCGAGUGGCGAACGGGUGAGUAACACGUGAGUAACCUGCCCUUGACUUUGGGAUAACUUCAGGAAACUGGGGCUAAUACCGGAUAGGAGCUCCUGCUGCAUGGUGGGGGUUGGAAAGUUUCGGCGGUUGGGGAUGGACUCGCGGCUUAUCAGCUUGUUGGUGGGGUAGUGGCUUACCAAGGCUUUGACGGGUAGCCGGCCUGAGAGGGUGACCGGCCACAUUAGGACUGAGAUACGGCCCAGACGCCAACGGGAGGCAACGGUGGGAAGUAUUGCACAGUGAGCGGGAGCCUGAUACAGCAGCGCCGCGUGCGGGAUGACGGCCUUCGGGUUGUAAACCGCUUUCGCCUGUGACGAAGCGUGAGUGACGGUAAUGGAUAAAGAAGCACCGGCUAACUACGUG